UAUAGAUAGAUAGAUAGGUGUGUGUGUGCGUGUGUGUGUGUCUGUGGGCGCGUUUGUUUUGUAUUAUGUAUGCAUGCAAGCAUGCGUAAUACACAUCCAUGUACAUGGAGAAUUCUUGUGUUACUGUAUAAUAUCUCAACAGUACGGCGUGGGGCACCAUCGAGGACGACAUACAGUUAGACGAGCACUUUGUGGUGUUCAACGACGCCAUCCAGAUCCUUCCCUCCGCCGGCGCCGAAGUGGUCUACUACUGGGAUCGUAAUCCGACAGGGGUUAGGGAUCCGAACACUGGCCUUGAAUUUUGAUAUUCUGUUACGUCUAGUGACCUUUCCGCAUAUGUCAAAUCAUUUAUGAAAAUUGUAAAUAGGAUCGGACCUAAAAUAGAGCCUUUCGGAACACCAAAAGGUA